GGCGGCAGGCCUAACACAUGCAAGUCGAGCGGAAACGAAGAGGUGCUUGCACCUCUGGCGUCGAGCGGCGGACGGGUGAGUAAUGCUUGGGAACAUGCCUUGAGGUGGGGGACAACCGUUGGAAACGACGGCUAAUACCGCAUAAUGUCUACGGACCAAAGGGGGCUUCGGCUCUCGCCUUUAGAUUGGCCCAAGUGGGAUUAGCUAGUUGGUGAGGUAAUGGCUCACCAAGGCGACGAUCCCUAGCUGGUUUGAGAGGAUGAUCAGCCACACUGGGACUGAGACACGGCCCAGACUCCUACGGGAGGCAGCAGUGGGGAAUAUUGCACAAUGGGCGCAAGCCUGAUGCAGCCAUGCCGCGUGUGUGAAGAAGGCCUUCGGGUUGUAAAGCACUUUCAGCAAGGAGGAAAGGGUGUAAGUUAAUACCUUACAUCUGUGACGUUACUUGCAGAAGAAGCACCGGCUAACUCCGUGCCAGCAGCCGCGGUAAUACGGAGGGUGCGAGCGUUAAUCGGAAUUACUGGGCGUAAAGCGUACGCAGGCGGUUUGUUAAGCGAGAUGUGAAAGCCCCGGGCUUAACCUGGGAACUGCAUUUCGAACUGGCAUGCUAGAGUGUGAUAGAGGGUGGUAGAAUUUCAGGUGUAGCGGUGAAAUGCGUAGAGAUCUGAAGGAAUACCGAUGGCGAGGCCGCCCCCCUGGGUCAACACUGACGCUCAUGUACGAAAGCUUGGGGAGCAAACAGGAUUAGAUACCCUGGUUAUCCACCCCGUAAACGAUGUCCACUAAGA
rnacentral:rRNA from 2 species